AUGAAUCUGUUUGUGAUCAGUGAACCAUCUUUUGUUGUAAAAAAGUUAAUCUUAUUUAGAUUUGAAGUAUCCCGGUUUGUUUUCUUUUAUUCUUUGCGCUUACAGGGUUUACUAUAUGUUACAGGUGACGUGAUGCCUCAGAAUGAUAUGAACUAUGAGGGCAGAAGAAGAGGAAUGCGUUACGGUGCCUGUAAAGCCAACGGCCAGGUCAGCGGUCACGUCCCACACAGAGCUGUGGUUAAUGGAGCCGUUGUUGACGUCGGCUCCCCGGAUGCUACCGCCAGAACCAGCAAGAGGACACCAGCUGGCCCACUGAAUGGUGCCAAACCACAAUGCAUGGUUAAUGGUUAUAUUAACCAUGGGUGCAAGGGCAAGAGUGUGAAAGCACCGCCGCCAAGGACACUCAGGAAACAAGGAAGCACAAAUUCAGCUGUCACUGAUGCCUCAGCAGCUCGCUGUGUCAGUAGUGCAGGCAUUCCACGUAGUAUCGCAGUGAAUGGGGACACCAGUCUAGACGUUGUUGCUUUGCCCUCUAAUUCUGACCAAAAGGCACCAGAGCCCAGCCCGUCUGCAGCAGCUAAGAAGCCGAGAAGAUGGAAGAAAUUCCUACCUAAAAUGAGAACAUACAGAACAGAGGACAACCAACAGGAUCAUUGUAGGUAAGGUGAAAUGCUGGACAUCAUGUUAAAAACAGGAAAUGGAAGAUAAGCUGGGUUACAUUGCAGUUCAUUGACUUUGAUUCACGCUAAGCCAGGAUUAUUUUAAGGGUACAUCAUAAGUGCAUUCUUUUGUCCUUAGUCAGGUAGGAAAUUUUAAAAAAAAGUUCUCUCAAAAUAAAAAAUCACUCCAGAUUCAAAUAAGAUUUCCAGUAUUUUUCGCAUAUUUUUAGUGGCACUUCCCAGAGAAAGAUUCUGCCAUUCCAUAGUAUAAAUUAACUAAACUAUUUAUAUCCAUUCAGGGAUUGUUGGAGACUUUGUAUUCACCAGUUUCCCCAUUUCCUGCCUGCUAGCAGUAUUUGUAAAUGCAUUUUUAGCCCAGUUGGCACAUUUCCCAAAUACAUAACACUGAACUUUAACUCAAGCUCUGGACUGAUUAUUGAUCUGAUCUCUGUUACCAUGUCUCCUUAGUAAGAAGAAAUGUUAGGACUCUCCCAAGGGCUACCUACUGUCAUAAGAGUUGUGCAAUGCAAUAGUAAAGGGCAGCUGGAUUAACCUAGGAUAUUAGACAGAAAUGACAAGACGAAACAACAUGGUAGAGGCCAGGGAAGAAAAUGAGAAUGAAAGAUGAGGACGGUGAAAGUGAUAGCCAUUAAAAAAAACAUAAUGUAACAACAGAACAUAUAAUAUUUUAAAAUAAAUACAAAAAUAAGAGAAUAAAAGCCAUAAAAAUAAAAUAAAGUACAAAGACAACAUCACAUAAAAGCAAGUCUAUGUCUGAUUUAAAGGAAGUCACUGGUUCUGCAAGCAGAGUGGUGCAGUGUUUCCUCUAUGCUGAUUUUGGAGCGGCGGCCCGCCACUGUUAAAUUUCUGCUGCCACGGUAUCAGAAAUGGGGCAGACGCACAAUGUAGUCACGGUUGCUUUUUAAAUGAUCCUGCCGACAUGGGGGCUGUUCGGACGGGCCUGCCCCCACUGCUAAAAUAAAUCCUAGAGGAAACACUGUGGUGUCAAUAUUUUAAUCUUAACAAAUGUUUCCAAAAUGUAGAACUAUUCCUGUAAGUGCUCCCACUGCCUCCCUGACUAAAUAUUUCAUGAAAAUGUAUUGACAAGAAACAACCCCAGUGUCAGAUAAUCAAAAAAUAAUGUAUGUGAACAUUUGGAUAGUUUCCCUUUGUGUGCCUGCAAAGAUGAAAUGCUCAUUUGAGACCUGUCAAUCUUUUGUAGAGCCUCAACAAUGCCACCACAAGAGGAGGAGGACUGGGAAAAGGAGAUCCAAGAGGUCACACUGACUGACUGGGAGAAGAUGUGUUUUGGCAACCUACCAUAUGGUAAAGACAGGAAAAAAAGAUUUAAAUAUUAUAUAAUAUAAUCUCUCCCAACACGGCACUGUACUGAUACUAUAUACUGAUGAGAAGGAUAAUUGUAGUAUUGUUUUUACCACUGCAGUCACAUUAUGAAACUAAAAAUGCAAGAAAUUACAAAACUAUUUAUCACAUUCAUGUACAGAAAAUGCUUAUGCUUGUGGUCAUUGUUUGGGAUCUCAACUGGCCGGGACCCAGUGGGACCUACAGGAGUGUACCUGGACAGAAUGAUUUGGAUAUGAGCUCAAAAAUGCUAUGAGGAAACGUUAGUAACGGCCAAUUUCAGCUUUCUUUCAAGGUUUAUCUCGCAGCAAGCUCGUUCCACUCAGGCUAAGGUUCGGCUUCAAAGCUAUUUUUAGGAUUCAGGCCAGGCUGAGUGUUUUACUGGUAUUCUGUGCCUCCGCCAGGUCCAGAAGAUUUGCUCCAUUUUUCUCUGCGGGAUUUGACACUUAAGCAAAGGGACACAGGUUACCUGCCGGUGACAGCCAAUUACAGCCCAACCGUACACCACCCACGCCCUGUCCGAUGGUCCUCCUACAACAUGCCCACUGUGCCAGAGCAGUUCGCAGACGCUGACGAGUAAGCCGGACAUAUGCUGUGAGGGGAUUGGUAGAAAUCAGUGAUCACAUACCAACAUUACUAAGGAGUUCUGUUGUAAAUGUAGUUAGCCCAUAUUGUUAGAUUUUCCAAUUUCGGGGAAUCUGGAUAGUAACCAUGCUCAGAUUAUUUGUUUAGUCAGUGUCUGUCUUUUUUUCCCCCUCAUCUAAAACGUUAGUGGAAGAAAUUAAACUUACUCUAGUUUAGCAUCAAAAUCAAAUGCUGUUAAUGCUGUCACGGGUCAGAGAGUGUAGGGUGGAUUCUAGGUUGCAGUGAGGUUAUUUUUUAUUAUUGUAGGUUUUAUUUUAUCAUUUAUAUUGAGAUUUUAGAUUUGUUUUAUAUCGCGUCAUAUUAAUUUGUUAAGCUUCUAUGAUCUUAAGGAAUGAUUUUAGCUAGCUCUCAUACUUUGCUGUUGUACCCUCUUUAGUGACUGUUGUUACUGAGUAUGGUCAUGCAUUUGCUGUUCUUCCAUUUAAUAUCUUCAUAAUUUUGCUAGUCUUCCAAGAACUGAAAUAAUAAUUUUUAUCUAAAGGUUUUUUGUGUUUUUAAAAUGCCUGAAAUGGGAACACUGUUGUCAUAAUAAGUUGCUCUUUCGAGCUAUGCGAUCAACUUUAUUGUUUAUAAAUUGCACAUUGUUCACAGCAAAUGAAGUAACUAUUUUAAUUUUGGGCAGCCAGCCUACCUGAGAAAUUAUGGUUUAAUUAUGUAAAAACAGCAAAUCGUUAUCUGCUUGUUCAGACCUUCAUUUUCACAACCACAAUAAAUCCAAUUUUCUUCUACCUUGUGGUCAAAUCGUGCAUGUUUAUCUCCACUAGUGGCUCCUCCAGUUAAAAUGAGCCUCAACGGUGUAGCUGGGCUGUUUUGAGUCCCAUUUUACAACAUAAACCAACAUAUUUGCUCAUUUUGCCUAGUUUAAUCUUUUCUUUUUUAGAAGUGAUGACAACUUUUGGCCACUAGAUGGGAGAGUUGGUGUAUUCCACACGCUUAUGGGAGUUCGAUGGGUUCAUUCCCAAGGACUUGGGAGACACAAGCACUUGCUUGCAUACUGUUCAAACCUCAUUUCUCCCUGGAGUUUUAUUCAGAAUGCAACUGAAGAUGGAGGCAACUGUCACUAAGCUGAUUAAUGUCAUCUAAUAAUUCUAAACCAUUCACAGACACCAUGUCAAUAAUAGAUUGUGGUCAUAAUCUCUCUAAAGUCGUGUUCUCUGAUGAGACUUUGCAGUUGAAUUUUAGGAAGAGCUCUGGGUUUGCUUUCUUUUUUCAAGCAAAGUAUGCAACAUCAGAUCCAUCACUAUCAAAGAAAUGAAGUAGCGUUUGAUGUUCCCCAGCCCUGUGAGUUUCACUGUUGAUGUUGAGGGAAAAAGUGACUGGAGGAGUGGUGUUGAUAGGGAAAGCUUGUGAUAUCGUUGUACUUUUCUGUUAUUUGUCGAGACUGCUGGAAGCUGGGGACUGAAUGGUCACUGAGUACCUUGUGUGUACCAUUGAACUGUUCAUAGGUGUUUCAGACAGUUAAAAAUGGAGAAAAUACCACGAUGUGUCUCAGUCAUUACCACUAUUCAAUCAUAGCAAGAAGUUGGAGUUUACAUGUCCUGUGUUUCUGUCUGAAGACAUGGAGGUUGGAUGCAGUGAAAAUACUGUGUGAAUGUGAAUGCAUUUCUUUGUCUGUUUAUUAUGUCCUUAAUGAACCCUGCCUCUCGAUCAAGCAGGGAUAGCCCUCAGCCCAUCUGCCCCUGAACAGGAUAAGUGGUUCAGAAAAUGGAUGGAUGAGAAGAGCACAAUGCCUAUCAAACAUUUAGAAUUUGAAAUAAAUUAUUAAUGUUAUCAAUCGAUA
rnacentral:lncRNA from 15 species